GCGAGCGGCGGACGGGUGAGUAACACUUGGGUAACCUGCCCAAGAGACUGGGAUAACACCCGGAAACAGAUGCUAAUACCGGAUAACAACACUAGACGCAUGUCUAGAGUUUGAAAGAUGGUUCUGCUAUCGCUCUUGGAUGGACCUGCGGUGCAUUAGCUAGUUGGUAAGGUAACGGCUUACCAAGGCAAUGAUGCAUAGCCGAGUUGAGAGACUGAUCGGCCACAUUGGGACUGAGACACGGCCCAAACUCCUACGGGAGGCAGCAGUAGGAAAUCUUCCACAAUGGACGAAAGUCUGAUGGAGCAACGCCGCGUGAGUGAAGAAGGGUUUCGGCUCGUAAAGCCCUGUUGGUAGUGAAGAAAGAUAGAGGUAGUAACUGGCCUUUAUUUGACGGUAAUUACUUAGAAAGUCACGGCUAACUACUUGCCAGCAGCCGCGGUAAUACGUAGGUGGCAAGCGUUGUCCGGAUUUAUUGGGCGUAAAGCGAGUGCAGGCGGUUCAAUAAGUCUGAUGUGAAAGCCUUCGGCUCAACCGGAGAAUUGCAUCAGAAACUGUUGAACUUGAGUGCAGAA
rnacentral:rRNA from 1 species